rnacentral:rRNA from 1 species
CCUACGGGUGGCAGCAGUGGGGAAUAUUGCACAAUGGGGGAAACCCUGAUGCAGCGACGCCGCGUGAGUGAAGAAGUAUUUCGGUAUGUAAAGCUCUAGCAGCAGGGAAGAAAAUGACGGUACCUGACUAAGAAGCCCCGGCUAACUACGUGCCAGCAGCCGCGGUAAUACGUAGGGGGCAAGCGUUAUCCGGAUUUACUGGGUGUAAAGGGAGCGUAGGCGGCAAGGGAAGCCAGAAGUGAAAGCCCGCGGCUCAACUGCGGGACUGCUUUUGAAACUACGUAGCUAGAUUGCAGGAGAGGUAAGGGGAAUUCGGGGUGUAGCGGUGAAAGGCGUAGAUA